rnacentral:rRNA from 1 species
GCAUAACGCGAAGAACCUUACCUACUCUUGACAUCCAGAGAACUUAGCAGAGAUGCUUUGGUGCCUUCGGGAACUCUGAGACAGGUGCUGCAUGGCUGUCGUCAGCUCGUGUUGUGAAAUGUUGGGUUAAGUCCCGCAACGAGCGCAACCCUUAUCCUUUGUUGCCAGCGGUUCGGCCGGGAACUCAAAGGAGACUGCCAGUGAUAAACUGGAGGAAGGUGGGGAUGACGUCAAGUCAUCAUGGCCCUUACGAGUAGGGCUACACACGUGCUACAAUGGCGCAUACGAAGAGAAGCGACCUCGCGAGAGCAAGCGGACCUCAUAAAGUGCGUCGUAGUCCGGAUUGGAGUCUGCAACUCGACUCCAUGAAGUCGGAAUCGCUAGUAAUCGUGGAUCAGAAUGCCACGGUGAAUACGUUCCCGGGUCUUGUACACACCG